rnacentral:rRNA from 9 species
AGAGUUUGAUCCUGGCUCAGGACGAACGCUGGCGGCGUGCCUAAUACAUGCAAGUAGAACGCUGAAGAGAGGAGCUUGCUCUUCUUGGAUGAGUUGCGAACGGGUGAGUAACGCGUAGGUAACCUGCCUUGUAGCGGGGGAUAACUAUUGGAAACGAUAGCUAAUACCGCAUAACAAUGGAUGACACAUGUCAUUUAUUUGAAAGGGGCAAUUGCUCCACUACAAGAUGGACCUGCGUUGUAUUAGCUAGUAGGUGAGGUAACGGCUCACCUAGGCGACGAUACAUAGCCGACCUGAGAGGGUGAUCGGCCACACUGGGACUGAGACACGGCCCAGACUCCUACGGGAGGCAGCAGUAGGGAAUCUUCGGCAAUGGGGGCAACCCUGACCGAGCAACGCCGCGUGAGUGAAGAAGGUUUUCGGAUCGUAAAGCUCUGUUGUAAGUCAAGAACGAGUGUGAGAGUGGAAAGUUCACACUGUGACGGUAGCUUACCAGAAAGGGACGGCUAACUACGUGCCAGCAGCCGCGGUAAUACGUAGGUCCCGAGCGUUGUCCGGAUUUAUUGGGCGUAAAGCGAGCGCAGGCGGUUUGAUAAGUCUGAAGUUAAAGGCUGUGGCUCAACCAUAGUUCGCUUUGGAAACUGUCAAACUUGAGUGCAGAAGGGGAGAGUGGAAUUCCAUGUGUAGCGGUGAAAUGCGUAGAUAUAUGGAGGAACACCGGUGGCGAAAGCGGCUCUCUGGUCUGUAACUGACGCUGAGGCUCGAAAGCGUGGGGAGCGAACAGGAUUAGAUACCCUGGUAGUCCACGCCGUAAACGAUGAGUGCUAGGUGUUGGAUCCUUUCCGGGAUUCAGUGCCGCAGCUAACGCAUUAAGCACUCCGCCUGGGGAGUACGACCGCAAGGUUGAAACUCAAAGGAAUUGACGGGGGCCCGCACAAGCGGUGGAGCAUGUGGUUUAAUUCGAAGCAACGCGAAGAACCUUACCAGGUCUUGACAUCCCGAUGCUAUUUCUAGAGAUAGAAAGUUACUUCGGUACAUCGGUGACAGGUGGUGCAUGGUUGUCGUCAGCUCGUGUCGUGAGAUGUUGGGUUAAGUCCCGCAACGAGCGCAACCCCUAUUGUUAGUUGCCAUCAUUCAGUUGGGCACUCUAGCGAGACUGCCGGUAAUAAACCGGAGGAAGGUGGGGAUGACGUCAAAUCAUCAUGCCCCUUAUGACCUGGGCUACACACGUGCUACAAUGGUUGGUACAACGAGUUGCGAGUCGGUGACGGCAAGCUAAUCUCUUAAAGCCAAUCUCAGUUCGGAUUGUAGGCUGCAACUCGCCUACAUGAAGUCGGAAUCGCUAGUAAUCGCGGAUCAGCACGCCGCGGUGAAUACGUUCCCGGGCCUUGUACACACCGCCCGUCACACCACGAGAGUUUGUAACACCCGAAGUCGGUGAGGUAACCUUUUGGAGCCAGCCGCCUAAGGUGGGAUAGAUGAUUGGGGUGAAGUCGUAACAAGGUAGCCGUAUCGGAAGGUGCGGCUG